UGUUUUUUUAACUUCUGAGUUUCUGAAGAACCCCAAACUUCUGAAUCUGUGCAUGGCAGACUCGCUCCCAUCCUUGUUUCAGGGUUUGUCCAAAUCUUUUGCACACCCUUAUCCAAUACCUUCUACAUUCAAAGCAUACCAUUCAGCUUUGGUCAGUUCCCCAAACAAGAAAUGUAUCUGUGCAGUUGCUCCCUCCAUUAAAGUUAGUGGUGACAUCCACAUAUGCGUGAGUUCUGUGCACACAAGAAAUCAUUGUUAUCAGGCCAAAAAUCUAUCUCCCUUCUGUAACAUUUACCUGGCAUCAAACAAUCCUAUUUACUUGUCAUUUUUGUAAGUAUCAGGGUUAUGUUUCCCUUAACAAAAUACAAGGGGAAAUGUGGUGUGGCACAGUGGUUAAGUUGUUUGGUUGAGAAACAAGGUCAAAUCUCCACCCAACCACAAAGUCAGUGGUGGCUGGUGCUCAUUUGGAUGGAAGUAGGGAGCCCAACAGCAGGUGGAGUCAGUGCCGAUGACAAGCAGAGAGUCAACUAUUUCUAGAUUUGUUCCCAUCCUCCUCCCUGCUGAAUUAUUCAAGGGCAACAUUGAAAUUAAUGAGAAGCAAGCUGGCAGUCAGUCCCACGCCCUGGACUGGAUGUAAGUAAGAAGGCAGGAAGGUUAGGGCAGACUAAGCUUGAUGUGGCAGUGUCACAUCAGCCUUAAUGGGCCAGCCUACACUGCACAAAGUGUGUUGGAUGUGCUUCAGGCAGCCACGGUCUCUCAGCAUAAACUACCCCAUAGGGUUGCUGCUGCUGUGAUGAGAUCUUUGGUGAAAAGGGUGGAACAAAAAUAUUAAUUAUUAAUAGUAUGUAAAUUGGAGGUGAACAGGUGAGGUGCUACAUCAUGAUUAUUAAUGGAGAUUAAGUGGAGUGGGGGGUUAACCUCGUUUAUCUUUGUACUGCAUUGCAAUGUUGUUUCUGUUGCAUGGGAAACUGUCUGUGAUGCACAGAUGAUCUAGCUAAAUUAGAAUUAAAAUUGGAUUUAAAAAAAUCCACUAAAAAUGUAAGGGGGUGCAAAAGGACAACACAAAGGGCAAUCUUUUAAAUUUUCAUUUCCAAUUCCAGCCAUUCUGAGCCAAAUGAAUAGAAAUCAGAUAAGGUUCAUUACAGCUGCAAUCCAUCCAGAAAAGCUGGAAUGGGGGCGAAAAAGGUCCUGGUACAUUAAUUUUUUCACAGUUGCUCUCUAGUAAAUAAUGUUCUCCUUACAAUUUAGACUCUCCAGGUCUAAGCUCAUGGGACUUCACAUUUGAAGCUGGAAUUCUGAGCAAUAGAAGCAAAGAUUUAUUUUCUUCCCCAGAAUGGGUGGGGGUGUGAUAAGGCGUCCCCUUCCUUUCCAAAGAAUCAAAACAUCCAAUCCUCAUUUAUUUAUUUUGAUUUCAAAUGUUGGGGUCCCGUGCUGAUGCCCUCAAAAUGAGGAAACAAGGACAUUAGUCAAAUGUAGAGUGAACCAAGUGAAGAAUCAAAUUUGUGAUAAACUACCAUGCCUUCAUUUUCCCUUCAUACUUGGAAGACACUAGGUUCUGAGUGAGUAUGCCUCAUUUAGCAACCUGCAAUUCACAAUUUGAUGCUGACGGCACGACUUGAACAGAAAGCAAGAGCUGUAUUAAGAAGAUUUGAGACCUAUUGUGAGCUGUGUGAUCAACAGAGGCAUGUGGUCCAGCAGCUCUUGCUGGAUUCUACCACUCCAAAAUGGGCAUGUUAGGAGGAGGAUGGAGGGAGCCAACUUAUUUCAAAGGUUUGUUUUAUAACAGGGGAGGCAGGAACUAAACAGAAAAAAAAAACCCAUAGCAUGGUAAUUGAAAAUUUAGGUGACAAUCCUUCCCUAUGUCAUUCUUAUUUUCAAUACAAUAGAUUUUAAAUGGAAGGAGUAUGCAAACAUGCAAUUCUGCAGCAAUGGAAUUCUAAAGCAGUGGUGGGGCCACAUUCAUUUCUGAGCAACCUUCUGAGGGCCACAUGUCAGUGGCUGGAGGAGCCAGAAACCAAAUAUGGGUAGGGCAAUUAAUAGAAUUUUUUCUUAUGUACAAUAGGCUAGUUAAUUCACACAUACUCAUGCCUCUCUCUCUUUCCUCCAUCCAGGUAAGCAAGAGUUCAAGGGAGCAUUUCAGCCAGAUAAGGACACUCAGGGAUGGUGCAAAGCUGGGCUAGGGAGGGAAUGUGGGUGAGGAGGAAUUAUGGUCUGGGGUGAGCCUCAGGAGCGAGAUAGGGAGGACUAAAGGGCCACAUUUGCCUUCCUGGGCUUUGGCUUCCCUAACUCUCUUCUAAAGCCUUACAGUCAAGCAAAAGCUGCAUCACAUUGUGUCAGAGAGUCUGUGCUGAGCCUUAAGUAGCAGAAUGCAAAACAAAGUCCUUGGACAAUUUUUGGAAAGGAUGUUGGGUGAUUGUAUGUCACUCUAUGCAUGCUCAAAGGAAUUUACUAUGGCUUUAAAUGUUCUGGGUUUGUAUCUUGACAUUUAAAAUUCAGUCCAGUGCUUAACCCUGGCUCACAUUAGCCCCUGCUGCUGUUCCUGUCCUUUGUUCUUAAGGGCUGUGUUUCCUUCAGUUCCUUCAUUUGGCAAAUACAUUAAGCUAGAAGGUAGUCUGAAUCAAGGCUCUUUCAAAGUCUUUCUUAUGUCUCAGGAGGCUUCCUGCACUGCCUUAGCAGCAGCUGUAUCAAAACUAAUCUGAGUCAUUACAAUUUAGGAUCAGAUUGGCUAGAGAUAAGAUAACUCUGGUUUAUAAUAACCUAUAAAGAUUUAUGACGAUUUAUUCACCUUCCCUAGGUAACAGGCUGCUCAUCCCCAGCAGACCCACAGCUCUUUUCUGUUAAAAGGUCACUGAAGAAAGAACUCUGAAAUGGCAGAAAAUAAAACCACUAAUCGGCACAUUUCUAAUAAAACUAUCAUGCCUGCUAGAACCAGAGGGACAUCAAAUGCUAACAAUUUCACAUCCCAUGUGGCACCAUCUCUUGAAAGGACUAACAAGAUGGGUUUUUCAUGCAGUACUCCAAUAAAUCAAGG